GAUGAACGCUGGCGGCGUGCCUAAUACAUGCAAGUCGAGCGAACGGACGAGCAGCUUUCUUCUCUGAUGUUAGCGGCGGACGGGUGAGUAACACGUGGAUAACCUACCUAUAAGACUGGGAUAACUUCGGGAAACCGGAGCUAAUACCGGAUAAUAUUUUGAACCGCAUGGUUCAAAAGUGAAAGACGGUCUUGCUGUCACUUAUAGAUGGAUCCGCGCUUCAUUAGCCAGUUGGUAAGGUAACGGCUUACCAAGGCAACGAUGCAUAGCCGACCUGAGAGGGUGAUCGGCCACCUUGGAACUGAGACACGGUCCCGAAUCCUACGGGAGGCAGCAGUAGGAACUCUUCCGAAAUGGGCGAAAGCCUGACGGAGCAACGCCGCGUGAGUGAUGAAGGUCUUCGGCUCGUAAAACUCUGUUAUUAGGGAAGAACAUAUGUGUAAGUAACUGUGCAGACCUUGACGGUACAUAAUCAGAAAGGCACGGCUAACUACGUG
rnacentral:rRNA from 1 species